AGUGAACGCUGGCGGUAGGCCUAACACAUGCAAGUCGAACGGCAGCACAGAGGAGCUUGCUCCUUGGGUGGCGAGUGGCGGACGGGUGAGGAAUACAUCGGAAUCUACUCUGUCGUGGGGGAUAACGUAGGGAAACUUACGCUAAUACCGCAUACGACCUACGGGUGAAAGCAGGGGACCUUCGGGCCUUGGCCGAUUGAAUGAGCCGAUGUCGGAUUAGCUAGUUGGCGGGGUAAAGGCCCACCAAGGCGACGAUCCGUAGCUGGUCUGAGAGGAUGAUCAGCCACACUGGAACUGAGACACGGUCCAGACUCCUACGGGAGGCAGCAGUGGGGAAUAUUGGACAAUGGGCGCAAGCCUGAUCCAGCCAUACCGCGUGGGUGAAGAAGGCCUUCGGGUUGUAAAGCCCUUUUGUUGGGAAAGAAAUCCAGCUGGCUAAUACCCGGUUGGGAUGACGGUACCCAAAGAAUAAGCACCGGCUAACUUCGUGCCAGCCGCCGCAGUAA
rnacentral:rRNA from 1 species